rnacentral:rRNA from 1 species
GAUGAACGCUAGCUACAGGCUUAACACAUGCAAGUCGAGGGGAAACGGCAUUGAGUGCUCGCACUCUUUGGACGUCGACCGGCGCACGGGUGAGUAACGCGUAUCCAACCUUCCCAUUACUGUGGGAUAACCUGCCGAAAGGCAGACUAAUACCGCAUAGUCUUCGAUGACGGCAUCAGAUUUGAAGUAAAGAUUUAUCGGUAAUGGAUGGGGAUGCGUCUGAUUAGCUUGUUGGCGGGGUAACGGCCCACCAAGGCGACGAUCAGUAGGGGUUCUGAGAGGAAGGUCCCCCACAUUGGAACUGAGACACGGUCCAAACUCCUACGGGAGGCAGCAGUGAGGAAUAUUGGUCAAUGGACGGAAGUCUGAACCAGCCAAGUAGCGUGCAGGAUGACGGCCCUAUGGGUUGUAAACUGCUUUUGUAUGGGGAUAAAGU